UAUAUUUGCCGAUUGAAAGAAAAUCUUUCAUUGUACAUAAAAAUCAUUUAAAUAAAUAUUGGAAUG
ncrna:unclassified sequences S15-Flavobacteria ribosomal protein leader